ACUGGACCCCACAACUUAUUUUAAUAUUUUUUUUAGCUGAACAUAUGUUUCAAUUCCACCAUGCUGCAGGAUCUUAGGUAGUAAUUCCAGCUAGCUGUACCCUCUCUUUAUGUGGUCCAAUGGAACCAGGAUGCCCAAUCAGUAGUUGGUAAGACAAAUGGGCUCAAUAAAGAAGAUGGAGGUAGCCCAAUGAAGCCCAAAAGCUAUCCCAAAAAAAAAAGAAAAAAAAAGAAGAGGCAAAUGGAAGAAGCGUAUGGUAGUAAUUCCAGCUAGCUGUACCCUCUCUUUAUGUGGUCCAAUGGAACCAGGAUGCCCAAUCAGUAGUUGGUAAGACAAAUGGGCUCAAUAAAGAAGAUGGAGGUAGCCCAAUGAAGCCCAAAAGCUAUCCCAAAAAAAAAAAAAAAAAAAAGAAGAGGCAAAUGGAAGAAGCGUAUGUGUGAGGAAGGUAGGUACCCAUGGAGAUACAAUCUCAAUUGAUGAAAUGGCGGUGGUUGUUAAGCAGCACCGCCAAGAGCAAUGAUCGCCCUAGGAUGGAACUGCUAAGUGCUUGGGAACCUUCGAACAGUUAGAGUGUUGUGCCAAUUUGUGCAAUAAUGGGAUCCCAAAAUUGUUUUCUUAUUGGAAACAAAGUUGAAGUUGAAAGCAAUGAAGAAAGAAAAGGAAAAAGUUGGUUUCUCAAAUGGAUUGAUUGUCCCUAGUUUAGGUAGAAGUGGUGGGUUAAUUUUGAUGUGGAAGCGAGAUAUAACAGUGGAGGUACAAGGCUAUUCUGGUAGCCAUAUUGAUGCGAUUGUAACUGACUAAAUGGCGUAUUAUUGGAUUCUAUGGGCAACCUAUGACCCAUUGGAGGAAGGAAUCAUGGGACCUUCUCAGAGCCCUGAAUAGGCAGUAUCAGCUCCCUUGGCUAUGCUUUGGGGACUUUAAUGAAAUCCUGUUAGUAGAAGAAAAAUGGGGAGGAGCCUGAAGACCCUAAAGGUAAAUGGAAGAUUUUAGAGAUGCCAUUCACCAUUGCAAAUUCAGAGACCUUAGGUACUGUGGUCCUGACUACAUACGGUGCAAUAUGCAAGAGAGGAAAACAGAGUGUACCUGAGGUUAGACCGAGCUCUCGCAACCCCUGAAUGGACUGAUCACUACAAGGAUAUGAGAGUGCACCACCUGGUAGAUUCUACUUCCGACUAUUGUGCUUUCCUGGUGGCUGAUUCUAUAGCUAUGCAACAUCCUAGAAAGCGAAGAUUUUACUUUGAAGCCAUGUGGACGAGAAGGGAAGAGUGCAGAGAAAUUAUCAAAGCAGCCUGGGGUGAAGGUAUGGGCCUAGAAACUCUGAAUGAUAUAGUUGCAAGACUGAAGAACUGUGCUGAUGAUAUAUCAAGGUGGAACAAAGCUGUUUUUGGUCAAGUCCCAAAGAAAAUUCAGAGCAAAAAAAACGCCCUUAAUAAUUUGGUACUCAGAGAUAGAGAUGGGAGCUUGGGCAGUGAGAUCAAUGACCUUAUGGACAGUAAGGAAAUUAUGUGGCAUCAGCGAUCUAAGGUGCAAUGGAUGGGCUUGGGGGACCGAAAUACAAAAAAUUUCCAUUCAAAAGCCUUUCAAAGAAAAAAGAAGAACAUUAUUUCUAGAAUUAUGGAUGGGAAUGGAAACUGGUGUGAUUCUAAUGAAGGCGUUGCAAAUGUGGCUGUUUCUUAUUUCACAAAGCUCUAUACUACCUCCCACCUAAGUCGCAUAAUAGAAGUCACUAAUGCAAUUCUGACUAGAGUAUCUGGGGAGAUGAACCAAGACCUUAUCAAAGAGUUCACUAAGGAGGAAGAUCAAAGAGUUCACUAUGGAGGAAGUUGAAAGAGCCUUAAAGCAAAUGCACCUGACAAAAUCGCCAGGACCCGAUGGUAUGUCUACCCUUUUUUUCCAAAGAUGGCUUCUCCUCUCUCAUAAAUGAAGUUGCCAGGAACCAUAUGAUCAAUGAGAUGUCCAUUUGCAGAGGCUGCCCCAUGGUCACACAUCUCUUCUUCGCUGAUGAUAGCAUUUUAUUUUGCAAGGCCAAAAACCAAGAAUGUCAAAAACUG